UACGUAGGGUGCGAGCGUUAAUCGGAAUUACUGGGCGUAAAGCGUGCGCAGGCGGUUUUGUAAGCUUGAGGUGAAAUCCCCGGGCUCAACCUGGGGAUUGCCUUCAGGACUGCGAGGCUAGAGUGCGGCAGAGGGAGGUGGAAUUCCACGUGUAGCAGUGAAAUGCGUAGAUAUGUGGAGGAACACCGAUGGCGAAGGCAGCCUCCUGGGCCAGCACUGACGCUCAUGCACGAAAGCGUGGGGAGCAAACAGG
rnacentral:rRNA from 1 species